rnacentral:lncRNA from 1 species
AAAGAAAGAAAAAGAGAAGAAGAAAAAGAGAAGAAGAAGUUGGAGAAGAUGGAGAAGAAGAUCUAGAAGGAGAUCUUCAUCCUCUCCUUCAUCUUCCUUGAGCUUUGGAGCAAGCUUUUAGAGGUAAGCUCUAACCCUAAAAAUGGUAUUUCUAGGGUUUAGGGUUUUGGUUGCUUUUGAGUGGUUCAAAUGGAACCCGUUUGAGUUGGAGAAGAUGGUUCUAGCUCCCAUUGAAGCUUUGAACCAUGGAUUGCACCAUUGAUGCAACCUAGGGUUAGAGUUUGGGUUUUGAACCCUAGAUCUUGAUUUUGAUCUCCCUACAAGUUUUAGAACCUUGUAAAAACCAAGAACACAUGAAAUCCAUGUUGUUCUUCGUAGUGCUCUAAUGGUGGAAUCCUAGGGUUUGUUCUAAAUGCCCUAGGGAUGAUUCUAAUGAGAUAGAAACGAGUUUAGAGAACUUCUUGGGUGAUUCUAAGCUCGAUUAUGCUUAGCUAUGAGAUCAAUCCCAAGAGAUUUGAUCUUGGUGUUGUUAGGGCACCGAAAUUGGGGCUUUUGCCUCCGGGUGUUUCUAAGGCAAAUUGGCCUUGUAGAAACCUAAUUGGGGACCUAACGAACGCGUUGGUGCGCUCGGUUCGACAAUCCGACGAGCGUACGCGAAGUUAUUGACGAAACGGUCGGUUUUGGUACAGAUAGCCGCAGCACGCGGAAUAAAGGUCUAAAAAUCAUGAGAUCGGAACUGGAGCACCUUGGAGUCAAGGAAUAAACUCCGGAAAAGACGGAUCGCGAUUCGGAGGUCGUUCGCUAAGUCGUGCAAGAGUUCGGGCCAAACCGGGCAACGGUUGCCGCGGGAGGCCGAUUGCAAGUGACUACAAGCAAUCGGAGCGCGAGUUAAGGUGGGUUGGUUUACCGAAGCGACUAGGUCGCCUUUAUGUCUAAUUAUUAGACUUUCAUGUUGAUGCAUGCUAAUAAAUGUAUAGUUGAUGCAUGAGAUAAAAUGCCAAAUAGUGAGCAUGUAAAAGUAAAGUUGUAUGCAUGUUGGUAAUGUGAUGCAAAUGCUAAAUGGAAUGCAUUAUGAGCAUGUUGAAAUAAGCUAGAUAAUUAUAUGAUUUCGUGUAAGCAUAAGGCAUAAAAUGAAAUGCAUAUUGAUGACAUAAGUUAAGAUGAGAUAUAGAAUGCAUGAUGAAUAAGUUAUAUAAUGCUACAUGAUUACAGGAAUGCAUGUGAGCAUAAUGGAUAGAAUGCAUGUUGACAUUGUGAGAUUAAAUGUGCAUGAAAAUCUAGGUUGAGAACCCUAGAGUGAUUAAAGAAAAUGAUGCUAUGCUAAAGAAUUAAAUAACAAGCAUGAUAUGAAAAUAGUAAAUGCAAGUGCAUGUUAAGAAUGCUAAGUAAGGAACAUAUAUAGGUGGACAUGAAUAAACCUAUAGAUCGAGUGGCAUUAACCUAGUGUCGAGAACAUAGGUUAAAUAAGAGUGAUGUUAAACCUAAUGUAAAGAACAUAGGUUGUGAAAUGAAAGCUGCUUAACCUAGAGUCAAGUAAACCUAGGUUGGAAAAGAAUGAUGGUCCUAGUGUACUAAACCUAGGUUAAGAAUGUGAAAGCAAUAAACCUAAAGCAAUAACUUAGGUUGUGUAAGAGACAUUGAACCUAGAGUCAAUUGGACCUAGGAGAUAAAGACUUAGACCUAGAGAGGUCAGUUCCAUAGGGUUAAGGCCAACCCUUGGUUAAUGUGAUAUGGAUUCCGGAAUCCCGAUGCUUGCUGAUACACCCAAAGUGGUGUCGGGUGUGUGUGCGACGAUUUCGCCGCCCAGGGGCUAGAAAACUAUUGUCGUGGCGUGUGUGCGACGAUUUCGCCGCCGGAUGGUUAGCCAGUUUGUGGAUCCUACCGCCUGUUGACUGAACCACUGUCGUGGCGUGUGUGCGACGAUUUCGCCGCCGAGUGACUAAGUCAUUGAACCUACGCCGUUGUUGGGUGAGAUGCGAUUCGUUCGCCGCCAGACGGCUAGGACAGGAGUACGGUGAGCUGUUGCCAGCUGAGGUGCAUGUGAGAGUUCCUUCACCUCGAGCUAGACAGUGCGCGGAUUAUCCGCGAUUGAUUGACUCAAGACCGAGUCGGGUUGCUUUGUUGACUAAGGUAAAGUGACCUUAGAGUAGAAUGCCAAAAGCUAAGAUAUAGCAUGGUUCGAGAAUGUUAAGAGUAAAGAGUGGCUAAAGAAUAAUGAAUAGCUAAAGAAAGGAAUAGCUAAGAGCUAAAAGUAAGCAUCAAAUGGCAAAGAGUAAAGAAUGAUUAAGAACAUAAGUAGUGUUAAAGCAACCUACUUGCAUGAUUCUAGAUAUUGCAUAUUGCAUUUCGUGAGGCAUGACAUGUAUUUCAUUUGAAUAUAUAUCUGUUGUAUAUUAUUGAUCUAACAUGUUGCAGUGCCUCGUUAGACCUGUUGGCUGAGCUUGUUCUCUUGGGUGGCUAAACCCACUGAGGACUAUGGACAAUAGUCUCACCCCCGUGUUGCUGUUUUGGGGGUACAGGUACACACGUGUGCGGCGCGGCGGCGCAAGGCGAGGACGUAGUUCUGCAGAUAGCGUCCUACCCAGAGACUGAGAUAGCAGUACCCGAGUUGGUGGUCUAGCUUGGGAGGUUUAAAGACAAGAACAAACUUUUGUUUAAGUUGUAAAAGAAUUUGUAAUAAUUAUGGUUGUAUUUGGAGGUUAAUUGUAAAAGAAAAAUUAUGUUGUAAAAUGCAUCUAAGUUGAAUGCUGUAAUAACUUAGUAGUUUAUGUUUUCGAUACUUCCUUAUGCAAUCUGUGAAUGAAUACUGUUCCUGGUUGGAACCUCUCGUAUUGUUUUGAUUGCGACGCCUAGGACGUACAGGGGAAACUCUGUCCGUUCGGUGGUCUGUCGGCGGC